GGGUCAUGUCGGGGAUCUUGUUUCUCAGUGUUGUCAUCAUCAGUCAUCUGACACUAAGUGACAGGCUGCGGUUGUUAGCUAGCAGUCCAGCUAAAUCCAAUUUGUGCGUUAUGAUGUAGUCCUUUUUAGGUUUUUGUUUUCCAGUAGAAUAUUAUAUUAGAAACCCCUACUAUAUGUGAAGUGCACUGGUGAUGAACAUAGUAAUGGAGAAGAGCGCUCGGCGGAAAUGGAGUCCCUAGAGAAAGCAAGAACAAGAUGGGUGUCAGUAGUGGGGCAGCAGUAUUAUCACAAGGAGACCUAUACUUGGAAAACGGAGGAAGAAUGGAGGGAAAAAGAGAGGGCUUGUGUCGGAUAAAAAUUGUGGGAAAGGGGAGAUGGUUUGUUAAAUAAGAAUGGUAGAAAGUGUAAGCAGGGGGAGCUGAAGACAGGAGGAGAAAUGGAAGUGAAUAAGUGUGAAGUAUCCUAUGUGGUAGGUUCGGUGAAGUUAUUGUAUAGGUAUGCACCGAGGAUCAGGAUGAAGAAGAGUGACAGAGUGAAUUUUAUGGAAAAAAGCGUACUCUUCCCUUUUUGCUGAUCCAUGUGUGGUUUCACGGUGGGUGAAAAAAAGAGUUGGGUGAUGGUAACUAGAAGUGGUCUAGUGAUAACUGUUUGUGUUUUUGUGAGGCAGAGGGAGAAUACGCUUGGAGUAAAACUAAUGAGGGCAAGAAAAGUGAAUUGUUUCGUUCUCAAGAAAAGGGCACAAAUGAAAGGAGUGAUAACAGGGGUAGCAGUAAAUAUCAAAGUUGACCAGCUGAGGGGAAAUAUUCCCGGUGUAUGUGAUGAUCGUCGUUUGAUGCGACGCAAACAGGGUGGGGAAACGGAAGUCAUUGUCUGUUUUUUUGAAGUUGAGUCUUUGCCCGAUAAAGUUUGGAUAUAUAAGUAAUCCUGUACGAGCGAUGUGCCGAAUACAUUACGACGUUACAGGUGUCAAGUUUAUGGGUAUGUGGCAGCAGUGUGUAGGAGGGAGGGUCCAAGGUGUUAGAAAUGUGCAGGGCAUGAGACAAAGGAAUGUGUAGUAUGGGGGAAAGUCGCGGAAUGUGUUAAUUGUUGGUGUGCCCAUGGAACUGGGGAUCAGAAAUGUCCCUUGCGAGAGAGGCAGGUUGAGGUUUCCAGGGUUAGAGUAGUGCAUUAGUUGUCACAUUGUACUGAAGGGAUGGAUCGGAAGUCUCGGGAAAAUUGAGGUUGUGGUGGCAGCUGCAGAGAGGUAUAUGGGCGUGCUAGACUUGACAUCAGAAGAGUUACAGGGUGUGUUAAGUGGUGACGUCCCAUCCUUUCAGGGUGAUGGCAUGAGGUAGGAGUAAAUACAUUUAAUUAGUGCGGUAGGGUGGUGUUCAUUUAAUUUUAUAUAAUUUUGAAAUUAGUGAGUGUAGUGUUAGAUGGUAGGGUAUUUAUUUAGUACAUUUGUAUUUUUCAAGCAAAGUAUAAUGGAGUUGUACUCCAGUCUAGUAGAUGGCGGUAAUGAAACAAAUUGGAUGUCAACCGCUGUUAAACCGCAGAAGAAGUAAACAACAAUAUGUCUGGACCAAAUGGAGAUCCUAACAUCUCAACUGAUGAUGGCAUCAUUGACAAUGAAGAUGAAUUCAGAGUAUGUAGCCAUCAACACUGCUGGAUCAGAUCAACUCCUGCCUGGAUGACCUGGAGGAACGCAACGACUCACUGAAUGACCAACUACAUGAACUGUUGGAAUCUAACUGGCAGGCCUGGCAGGAGUUCAGAGUUCAACUGAGCACCGCUACACCCCCAGGAGAGGAUCAACAGUCCCCGGACAAAGAUUCUCCGGCCUCUGAAGGGCGAAGAGGAUAAAGCUGGACUACUCAAUGUUACACAAAACAACAUUCCACCUACCAAUAUGAGCAUCUUUCCUUUUCUCAAGUGUUCAUGUGAUAGGAUUUUCUCUGUCCCUUUCAUGUAGCACUUAUGAACCCUCCACUAAACUAUACCAUUUUAAUCGAUAUGCAGCUGUUGAACUUUUAAGAUGGUUCCUGCUUAGUUAAGUAAAAGAGCCAAAAGCUGAGUACAUUCUGUGUUGAAGUGACUAGUUUAUGCCACCAUCACUACUUACUAUGUAUACCAAUGUUUCAGCUUAGCUAUCCAUAUAGUCAAUUGCCCCCAUGAUUAGUACUUAUGUAUCCAUGUGCUUGGUGUGGGGUGUAAAGCAUGCAGAAUACACUGUGAUUCAUGUCAUAACUGGGGUGUAUUCAUUUUGCCGAAUUGGUUUCUGUUCCAAAACGUUUUGCAAUGAAAACAAGUUUCUAUUGCACAAAUUCAGGUAGGUCCCUCCCUGUUUCAUUUGCUAUGUUUGGCUCUAAGAUGGUAAACAGUUUCUGUUGUAAGAUGUAAUGAACACACUGGUGGUAGGUAAGCAGCUAAGUUAACCUCUAUGGGGUAAUACUACAAAUCAUAUGUGAGCUUUGAUUGGUCAAUAUUUUUCUGUGACAUGCAAGAAGAGAUUAAUGUGUUUGUGUUCCACUUUUUCCCAAUUCAGUUUUUCCUUGUCAGAUUUAACAGUAUAUUGAAUUUUGGACAUAUUAAAUAUAUAUUAAAUUUUACCUUUAUUUAAAACCAGGUAGGCAAGUUGAGAACAAGUUCUCAUUUACAAUUGCGACCUGGCCAAGAUAAAGCAAAGCAGUUCGACAGAUACGACACAGAGUUACACAUGGAGUAAAACAGACAUACAGUCAAUAAUAGUAUAAACAAGUCUAUAUACAAUGUGAGCAAAUGAGGUGAGAAGGGAGGUAAAGGCAAAAAAGGCCAUGGUGGCAAAGUAAAUACAAUUUAGCAAGUAAAACACUGGAAUGGUAGUUUUGCAAUGGAAGAAUGUGCAAAGUAGAAAUAAAAAUAAUGGGGUGCAAAGGAGCAAAAUAAAUAAAUACAUUAAAAUGAAAUACAGUUGGGAAAGAGGUAGUUGUUUGGGCUAAAUUAUAGGUGGGCUAUGUACAGGUGCAGUAAUCUGUGAGCUGCUCUGACAGUUGGUGCUUAAAGCUAGUGAGGGAGAUAAGUGUUUCCAGUUUCAGAGAUUUUUGUAGUUCGUUCCAGUCAUUGGCAGCAGAGAACUGGAAGGAGAGGCGGCCAAAGAAAGAAUUGGUUUUGGGGGUGACUAGAGAGAUAUACCUGCUGGAGCGUGUGCUACAGGUGGGAGAUGCUAUGGUGACCAGCGAGCUGAGAUAAGGGGGGACUUUACCUAGCAGGGUCUUGUAGAUGACAUGGAGCCAGUGGGUUUGGCGACGAGUAUGAAGCGAGAGCCAGCCAACGAGAGCGUACAGGUCGCAAUGGUGGGUAGUAUAUGGGGCUUUGGUGACAAAACGGAUUGCACUGUGAUCCAAUUUGUUGAGUAGGGUAUUGGAGGCUAUUUUGUAAAUGACAUCGCCAAAGUCGAGGAUUGGUAGGAUGGUCAGUUUUACAAGGGUAUGUUUGGCAGCAUGAGUGAAGGAUGCUUUGUUGCGAAAUAGGAAGCCAAUUCUAGAUUUAACUUUGGAUUGGAGAUGUUUGAUAUGGGUCUGGAAGGAGAGUUUACAGUCUAACCAGACACCUAAGUAUUUGUAGUCCACGUAUUCUAAGUCAGAGCCGUCCAGAGUAGUGAUGUUGGACAGGCGGGUAGGUGCAGGUAGCGAUCGGUUGAAGAGCAUGCAUUUAGUUUUACUUCUAUUUAAGAGCAAUUGGAGGCCACGGAAGGAGAGUUGUAUGUGUGAAUGUGUUACUGUUAAUUAUCUGAGUGUGACAUCUUGAAUCACUAACGUCAAGAACUAGCUCUUUAAAACAAUGCGAUAUUCAAUAAUCACAGUGAGGCAAUUGUCAAAUUUUAUUAUAAAUUAAAAUGACCCCAAUACAGAAAACAUCCCAAAAAUACAUGAAACUUCCAGCUGCUAGAAAACACUCUUGUUCAUCGGUUUGUCAUUUGUAGAAUAAAAAUACAUUAAGAAACAUACAGCUGUUUGAAAUGUCACAUAAAUGACCCUUUCUGUCAUGCUCUGGUCCUGUAUAAUAUUUCAGUGGGACACAAACCAGAGACAAGACAAAUGAGCUUGCUUUCAUCAAAGCCAAUAUGGGUUUGUUUACACAGUUAGCCCAAUUGAUCUAAUUGGUAUUUUGACUAAGAACAUCAGAAAAAAAAAUCUGAAAAUUGGGCUGCCUGUGUAAACAGUCUAUGCAUCUGCUCUUCUGCUGUACAAGUGAACUAAUAACAACUGCCCAUUCACUGAAAGCAUCAGUAUCAUCUGGGAGAGACUUAUUCCUUACAUGUUCCUUGAAAAAAAAUACAGUGGCUGUGAUUGGGGACUCUACUGGAGUGCUACAUUACUUGAUUCGGUCUUAUGUAUUUCUGUCUAUAACUUAUGAACAAUUAUCCUAUAUUCAG